rnacentral:misc_RNA from 1 species
UACGUAACUCUCACCUGUUAAGGCAUGUUGGCCUCUGUGAACGUCAAAGAUGACUUACAGCUACCUUUGAUUAGGAGAUGUAUCGGGUGCAUAAACUUUAUCAUACAACAUGAGCGGACCGACGCCGAAGGCACAGUAUUUAUACUCUCGCCAUGUAACGCCACUCCGAUCGUGUAAACUGCCCAGACUUUACGGGAAAACUCAGAAAAGUAUUCAGAAUCGACCAUCUUCGGAAUGCCUCAUCCGCCAUCCCACGGAACUUGCAAUCCGUCCAAACACUGCCCACCCGGAAGUCAUCAUAGAUAGUAACAAUGUCUAUGUCCGGAAGCAGAGUCAGGGGUUUUCCGGCGACGACGACUAUGAUCUUUCCGACUGCGAGACAGACUUAGGGGGGGGUAUGUUUCUGCCAUCUUCGCCAGCCAAAAGUUUUUUGGUCCUCUUCUCUCCCUUGAACGUCUAUGAGAAGCGUAGUGGAUCGAAAACCCUUUGCUAGCGAAAAUGUUUUCCAAGUUCUUCGCGAAGUUCAGUUCCAACUCUAGUUAUUAACUUAUUCAUUUACUCAUUUAAUUAGAGGAGCAUGGUACUAAAUUCCUCACCAUUUAUUGUUUAAAACCCUACUUAUUCAUAAAUUUAUCUAUGUAUUUACUCAUUUAUUAUAAUAAGUCACGUUAUACGAAAUUAACCUUGCCAUCAAAAUGCAAUACAUAUUGCUUACAUCUGUGUGUGUGUGUUUUAUGAAGAAGAUGAUUCAGAAGUAGAGAGAUAUUACACGGAUGAAACGAGUCAGUAUAGAUACCUGUGUGAACAACUUGGGAUCAUUCCUUGUAGCACCAUCAUUCGCCAGCUGAAAAAAACAUGGGUAAACCUGUCGUACAGUCAAAUGACGUCAUUAGACAUCCGGGCAUUUUCAACACUUCUUAUUAGCAACACAGAGAUAACAGCAUUGAACGUAUCCAACAACGACCUUGGCAGCAAGGGCGUCAUCUACCUGGCUGAAGUGAUUGCUGAAAACAUCUUUAUAAACAAACUGGAAAUGUCAGCUGUGAAUUUAGACGAAACUGGCUUCAAAGCCAUCGCUGGAGCUCUUCUAGACAAUAGAAAUAUUACUUAUUUGGAUAUCUCCAAGAAUAACAUCGGUAAAAGAAGUGCCAAGGACUUAGCCUGGCUCCUUAGGAGGAACGACUUUAUCGAACAUUUAGAUCUCUCUGGAAAUUUAAUUGAUGACGUAACAGGAACGGAAAUCGGACCAGCAAUAGCAUCCAAUUUGACGUUGAAAUUCCUUGAUCUGAGUUGGAACCACAUACGGCGUCACGGGGCUCGAGUCUUGGUUGAGUCAAUCUGCAAAAAUGUAGAAUUGGAAAGCGUCAAUCUGUCAUGGAACGGACUAGCAGAAUUUGGUUGCCGGGCAUUCGAAAAGCACUUUCCUAAAAACCAUACUCUAAAAAGUUUGGACAUCUCCCACAAUAGGAUAGGUUUCCAUACAUUGGGGUAUUUCCUUAAAGGCUUAAAGGACAAUGACACGUUGCAAGAAUUAAAAAUUUACGGAAAUCCCAUUACUUCAGAUGGAGCGCUAACAAUACUGACGGUCUUUGAAAACUCCACGCGCGCACUUAAGGAGAUCAAUAUACAGGACAUACCAAUAGAUGGACGUUUUAAAACAAAGGCAUGGGAAUUGAUAGAGACGAAAGAAUUGAAGAUCAAACACGGCGAUUUGCGGAAAAAACCAGCCCCCCUUAAAGAGCGUGGGCAGUCCAUAGAUGAUUUCAACCCUCUCCUCGUCUUGUUUGAGCACAUGCGUCAGCAAAACUUACGACUAAUCGACCUUUUCCGCAAUUUGGAUGCUAAUAAUGACCACAGUAUUACAAGCGACGAAAUUCAGGCUGGCCUUGCAAAAUUCAAUGUUAGCAUCACAGGCAGUCAAACUGAACAGCUAGUCAAUAGCAUGGACAGAGAUAAAAACGGUGCAAUCGACUUUAGUGAACUGGUGCAGGGGAAAAAAUAUGUCAAUAAAAUUCGGCGGUCGUCAAAAGCAGUCGGGAAUGAUAAAUUAGCAGAAAUGUUAGAAGGAUUAGAGAAACUGAUGAAGAAAGAGCGAAUACAGAGCCAGGCAAAAAAAUCAGCGGAGAGACGGGAGAGGCGGGCCUCCCGUCUGCCAUUGCUAAGAGAGAAGACAUAAUGCUCGUCUCCAUUGUGUGACGUCAGUGUUACGUCGACAUUUAUUCAGUUUCUAAGACUUAUUCUUAGUCACCUAUAAAUAAUACUUAAUAGUUUACUGGUACUGUGCCAGUUAUUGGCUAGGCCAAGAUACCGGCUAUAAUAAAAGUUUAGGCAAUUAAAUGGAUCGUAUAAAAAAUUCAAGUCCUCAAAGAAAUGGGUGGUACCUGUGCAGUUCGACCCUUUCAUUCAAUAAAAUAUUUCCCCAG